rnacentral:lncRNA from 1 species
UGUUGCUCGCUAGGAAAUUAAAUAAAAACAUUCUAAAAGUAAGUUUAAAUGUUUCUGUUCUUUUUUUUAUUGAUAAACUGUUGAUUUUUCUAUAACGUUUUUGUUUAUCAAAUCAAAAUGGCGACAUUUCGAGCGUCUACUAUAGGUCCGCUUCGAAGUACAAAAGUUCAAAAUAUUCCUAUUAGAAUCGAAAUAAUUCUAUCAUGCCAUGCUCUAUGCUCAUUUUAACAUGGGUAGGCAUUAUA